rnacentral:rRNA from 1 species
UACGUAGGGUGCAAGCGUUGUCCGGAAUUAUUGGGCGUAAAGAGCUCGUAGGCGGUCUGUCGCGUCGGCUGUGAAAACCCGGGGCUCAACCCCGGGCCUGCAGUCGAUACGGGCAGACUAGAGUGUGGUAGGGGAGACUGGAAUUCCUGGUGUAGCGGUGAAAAUGCGCAGAUAUCAGGAGGAACACCGGUGGCGAAGGCGGGUCUCUGGGCCAUAACUGACGCUGAGGAGCGAAAGCGUGGGGAGCGAACAGG